AACGUGCUGGAAUAGGCUUAGGCUAGCUGCUAGUUUAACGACAAAACAUGUAUGAUGAGUUGUCCUUUGAUAUUGAUCACAGUACUAUAUGUACGUACUUGCGCUUUCCUCCUCAUGGUGUCAACCCCAACCGGCCACGCAUCACCACCGUCUGCACGAAGGAAUGGCACAGUGGGACGCUCUCGUCGGUGCCGCGCUAGCGAGUCUGGCCGCUAGGAGGCUCCUGUUCAACACGCGCCUCAUCUCCCUCGCGCCACCGCCGCCGCCCUCCGAAACCUUCGCCGGCCCGGAGCCCUGGGACCGCGACACCGUCGAGGUCCAGAUCGACCGCAACUCUCUCCAGCAAUGGCUCGCCGCGAAUGGCGUGGUGAGCAGCAAAGAAGACGAGGUGAACCGUAAACUGGUCCUUUUCUCCGGGAACGACUACAUGUGCCUCAGCUCGCAUCCGGUAGUCCGUGAGGCUGCAGUCAAGGCAGCUCAGGAGUACGGCAUGGGGCCGAGAGGGUCUUCGUUGAUCUGUGGCUACACAACUUACCACAAAUUGGUGGAGGAAUCACUAGCAAAACUGCAGAAAAAAGAGGAUUGUCUCCUUUGUCCCACCGGAUUUUCUGCAAACACGGCCGUGAUGACUGCCUUGGGUAGUAUCAGCUCUCUUUUAUCUGCUGGGAGAAAACCUGCAGAGGAUGAGAGGAUAGCAAUUUUCUCAGAUGCGUUGAACCAUGCAUCAACUAUUGAUGGGAUCCGCCUUGUGGAGAGACAGCAAGAAGCGGUAGCAUUUGUCUACAAGCACCGUGACAUGUCGCAUCUUGAUUCCCUGCUGUCCAGUUGCUCAUUUGAAAGGAAAGUCGUCGUCACCGAUAGUAUCUUCAGCAUGGAUGGCGAUUUCGCUCUUCUGCCUGAACUUGUCAAAUUACGAAGAAAAUAUGGAUUUUUGUUGGUCGUGGAUGAUGCACAUGGAACGCUUGUUUGCGGUGAGAACGGUGGUGGUGUACCUGAGCUGUUUGCAUGUCAAAAUGACAUUGAUAUUUGUCUGGGCUCCUUGAGCAAGGGAGUUGGUUGCCAGGGUGGUUUUAUAGCAUGCAGCGGCGAUCUAUGUCUCAAAGAAGGAGAUAUGGCGAAGAUCAAUUAUUUGGGAUCAUGUGCGGUAUUUUGCUUCUUUGACCAAACUUGAGAUAACUAGUCCCAUCAUUGUCAUUGUAGUUGGAAGUGAAGAAGCAGCUGUCAGAGCUCACAGGCAUCUUCUAAGAUCUGGAUUUCUUGUCCAACCAAUAUGACCGCCCGUAGUGCCACCCAACUCAUCUAGGUUCCAGAUCAUUUAAUUUUUCUCUCUCCAUAUUAUGAAUUUUGCAUCUCCCUUUUCAUGUCGUGAUGUUUCUACAUCAACCUAUCUCGCUCCGUUUCAAAAUAUAAGUCGUUUUAGCUUUUAUUAAUUCAUAAUAUUUGCUAUAUACCUAGAUAGAAUAUAUCCUAGACGCAUGACAAUAAAACAGCCUAGCUACAUUUUGUAACAGAGGGAGUAGAAUUGAUAAUGCACCGCGUUUUGCUCAUGUAAUAAGUGGGAUCCCUGCAAGAAUUUGAUGAAUGAACAUAUACAUCCCCUAGUAGCACAAUACAAGAGUCCAUUUAUUUCAACUUAGUCUAACUGUGGAUCUCUUGCCAGGUUGCGAAUUACCCUUAGUGCAGCUCAUUCUUCGGAUGACAUCAAAAGGCUUGUUGAUGCGCUCACUCCCUGGCUCCCUAUUAAUCAUGCUGAGCAGAGUUACGCUGCAUCUUCAAGACUAUAAGGAAUGGACCAUCUACUGCGUUGGUGUAUGCCCAAGAACCAUCAUGGGGAUCAUUGUAUCUCACUUCUUGCAUUUGAUAUAAUUUUGAACAAUGUGUUUUUUUUUGGCCAGGAGAUGGAACAAUGCGUUAUUCUCUGUUUGUUGGAUAAUUAUCUUUUUUAACAUACAAUCAAUCAACAACUAUGUGACUUUUUUUAA